CCUCUCAUCCGGCAUUUGAGUAUCCGGCACAUUUUUCCCCGAGCCUUAAAAUCAAUAAAAAAUCAAUGCGUACUCAUAAAAUCGAUUAAAAUUCCCGCGCGAGGCAUACUUUGUCCCCUUGCCACCAGAGCGCACUGCUUCGCGCCACCCGCGGCCCACUGCACUGUUUACUCAGUGACUCAGUCCCGCGUGUGCCCUGUUUAUCGCCUGACGCCUUCAUCAUGCCUAAAGUUGUAGAAAAGAGGAAGCGUGUUGUGCUUACACUUAAGCAGCUGAUCAGAUCAGCUGAUCUUUGUUAUGUGGUUCUGAAACAAGUGGCAGCCAGUGAUGCACAGCGAGUGGAGCAACUCCUUGGGCAAGGCAGUUGUUCCCGAACAACUUCAAAGAGCUACAAGAUGAUCUACAAAACUACCAAGCUUAGAUAUAAUGGAACUAUCUUUGGCAAAACUUCAACCUGUGUUCAGCAUCUUCAGCAUCAAGACAAGCACAAUCCUUCCUCACUCAUGGUGCAGGAGAGAAAAGAACUACGUAUUGUGCCGUUGGUUCACGAACUCCUAACACCUUCUAAUACUGUGCAAACAUAUACUAGUAUUUCAUUAACAGCAGAUAUAAUAGAAGGAUGGAAUUUUCAUCAAAACCUGCAUGCCAAUUUUUUUUUUUUUUUUUUUUUCCCAUUCUGUGGUUAUGUCUCCUCUUGCAACACAGCAGUUCACUUUUAUUCUAGUGGCAUUCAAAGUCCAUCACUAUAAACCAUGCAGUUUCCCUCUACACAUUCCCCAUAUUCUAUAAUGGUACACCCCAUAUGCACAUUACACAGAGUUCUAUUUAACUACAUUCACUAACAUUUUCAUUUCUGUAAGCUGCAAUGUAAUAAAUAAUAUAAAAGAA